rnacentral:rRNA from 1 species
UACGAAGGGGGCUAGCGUUGCUCGGAUUGACUGGGCGUAAAGGGCGCGUAGGCGGUUCGUACAGUCAGACGUGAAAUUCCUGGGCUCAACCUGGGGGCUGCGUUUGAUACGUGCGGACUUGAGUGCGGAAGAGGGUCGUGGAAUUCCCAGUGUAGAGGUGAAAUUCGUAGAUAUUGGGAAGAACAUCAGUGGCGAAGGCGGCCAUCUGGGACAACACUGACGCUGAAGCACGAAAGCGUGGGGAGCAAACAGG